AGAGCAUUGCAAUUAUUGCUCCUUCAACGAGGAUGCCUAGUAAGCGCGUGUCAUCAGCAUGCGUUGAUUACGUCCCUCGACCUUUGUACACACCGCCCGUCGCUCACUCACCGAUUGAAUGGCUCAGUGAGGCGUUCGGACUGGCUCGGGGAGGUUGGCAACGACCACCCCCAAGCCGGAAAGUUCGUCAAACUCGGUCAUUUAGAGGAAGUAAAAGUCGUAACAAGGUCUCCGUAGGUGAACCUGCGGAGGGAUCAUUAC
rnacentral:rRNA from 1 species